rnacentral:rRNA from 1 species
GAGCACUGUUUCGGCUAGGGGGCCAUCCCGGCUUACCAACCCGAUGCAAACUGCGAAUACCGGAGAAUGUUAUCACGGGAGACACACGGCGGGUGCUAACGUCCGUCGUGAAGAGGGAAACAACCCAGACCGCCAGCUAAGGUCCCAAAGUCAUGGUUAAGUGGGAAACGAUGUGGGAAGGCCCAGACAGCCAGGAUGUUGGCUUAGAAGCAGCCAUCAUUUAAAGAAAGCGUAAUAGCUCACUGGUCGAGUCGGCCUGCGCGGAAGAUGUAACGGGGCUAAACCAUGCACCGAAGCUGCGGCAGCGACGCUUAUGCGUUGUUGGGUAGGGGAGCGUUCUGUAAGCCUGUGAAGGUGGCCUGUGAGGGUUGCUGGAGGUAUCAGAAGUGCGAAUGCUGACAUAAGUAACGAUAAAGCGGGUGAAAAGCCCGCUCGCCGGAAGACCAAGGGUUCCUGUCCAACGUUAAUCGGGGCAGGGUGAGUCGACCCCUAAGGCGAGGCCGAAAGGCGUAGUCGAUGGGAAACGGGUUAAUAUUCCCGUACUUGGUGUUACUGCGAAGGGGGGACGGAGAAGGCUAUGUUGGCCGGGCGA